GUUGAAUGCAAGGAUAAAAAAAAUCCUGAAGAGAUGAUGAAAAAAGGAAAAAAAUAAAUGGGCUCACCUGUAUUAUUUUAAUACAUGAUACAUCGGUGGCCGACUCAAAUUUUUCCAACAAAUCCCAGAAGCAGUCAAAAUUCAUAGACAUGUCAAUUCCAUCUUGAAUUUGUCCAUCCAAUGCCUGAUCUAAAACAGAAAUAGAGGGUUCUGUUAUUACUGCUGCAGUUUCCACAGCCAUACUGUCGACUCUGCGAGGAAAUAAUAUUUGUAAUAUGAGCUCUCGUGUUUGGCACGUCCCUAAAUCCACAAACACAGCAUCUGAACACACGAUUUUGGAAGAACUGUUCUGAAGCCUGACAAUGACCAAGGGGUUUCCAAUUACUUUAAAUGCCUCUGCAAUGACUUCCAAACCCAUGUGUUUAUUUCCUUUCCGAAGAACAUUGAAAAAUUCCAAAGGCAAUUGAGCGGUUAUAUCGCUUUCCUUCAACAAAUCAUGAAGUAAACGUACACACCCACCAGAGCUGAGAUGAAGCAAACACGCUGAAGAAACCAAUCUAAUGAGAAGCGAUGUAAAAUAAUUCUUCACAUCCAAGUUUGAUUUUUU
rnacentral:lncRNA from 1 species